AUCUACUCCAUUCUUUGUCAGCAAGUCACUAAGUGUAGCUCACCUUCAGAGUUGGGACGGGGAGAGUUAAAUUCCAGCACCCUGUGGGAAAAGGCUGUCUACACAGAUUUGAAUUCACUUGUAGAUUUAUCUCCUAUUUAUUUACACUUGUAUGGACUUCUGCAUAUUUAUUCUUUAAGUCAUAGUUGAAUGCUAUGUUAUUUUCUGCUCAAACUUCCAACUUUGGCCAUUGAGCGUCCUUUUCAGAUUGACUCUUAACCUUUGACUUGCCUCCAUUCUCUGGUAGAUGAUGGAGAAAGGAAAGGAAGGAAGAAUUGUUGGAGGUUUAUCAUCAGACUCUCAUACAGAGACAAAACAACAGCAUAGAAAGAAUGCAAGGGAAUAUAUUCCAUUCUCAUAUCCUACCACUAUUUUACAUCCAAUAAGGAGAUCAACUAAGCUGGAAAAGACAAACAACUGAACUGACCCAGUCUUGCUCUGAAAGUCUGAGUAAUGGUCUUCAUAGGGCUGAGUAAAUGGGCUUCCCAACUGGCUCAGUGGGAAAGAAUCCGCCUGUGAUACAGAAAACGUAGGAGAUGCCGCGGAGUCCAUCCCUGGAACAGGAAGCUCCCCUGGAGGAGGGCAUGGCAACCUGCUACAGUAUUCGUGCCUGGAGAAUCCCAUGGAUAGAGGAGCCUCACAGGUUACAGCCCAUAGGGUCGCACAGAGUCGGACAUGGGAAACGACUGAGUUGAAUGAUUAGAUCUAAUUUCUUAAAUAUGAGGAAAAAUGAAGUUCGAAAAUAAUUUUUAAAAUCUUUCCAUUCCCCGACAAGAUGAAAAGGCAGAAAAACUAGUCUCUCCCUAGAUUUGAGAACUGCUGGUCUUAUCACCUGUUUAGAGUGGUUACGGUAUCUAUGUAAAGAAUACUGUGCUUCAGAUAAGAAGUUGGAGACUGGAGAAUUGCUGAAAGACUUGGGCACAUCCUUUAACUUCGGGAGCCUCAGUUACCUCACCUUAAAGGGGGAGUAAUAACAAUACUUGGAGGAUGUCUGGGGAAAAAAUAGGGAAAUGGUUGUGAAACAUAAAAUAUUGGCUUAGUAAAAGAUGUUACUAGGCGAUUAUGCCCAUUUUCACUAAAUGUGAAGACCUUCAUAACAUCUAAAUGCAAUUUCUAGUCCUAAUUGCAUAAGAAUGGUCCAAGGUGGAGAAAGAUGGCUUUGUAAGAGUUUGCCUUGUUUCUCUGCCCCACCUCCCCUCACUCAAACAGGCUAGCAGCCUUUGAUUUCAAUAUUUCAGAUGUGCUGAGACAAUGAAAUAGUGAAUGCCAGCCACCUGCCUCUAGCCCCUUUUGCCCUAACUUUUUAAAUAUUUUUAAUUAAUUAAUAUAUAUAUGUAUAUUUAAUGUUAAGGAAGGAGAAUUUAGGCGGGUGAUGGAAGGGGUUGGUAGUUGGGAUUUCUUUAUUUUUGAAUCUGACAGUC
rnacentral:lncRNA from 1 species